AAAAAAAAAAAACAGAAAGAAAAAGGGGAAGGAGGAGGGAAGGGGGGGUAAGAGCUGUAGCAGUGGCUUUGGCUGCUCUUCAAAGAGGGGAAUGUGCAUUAAUAAUUGAAACAAUUGCGUCCUCUGAUAUCUCAUUGAAUGCUAUAUUUUACAAAUAUUUACCAAUCCAAGAUAAGGGCAUAGGCCUUCUCCUGAUCUUCUCCAUGAAUGAUAGAAGCA
rnacentral:misc_RNA from 1 species